rnacentral:lncRNA from 1 species
UUCAGAAGCCUAUAGGCACAUGAAAUUUGAAGGAGGUGUUCACAGAGUACAAAGAGUGCCAAAGACAGAAAAGCAAGGCCGCGUCCAUACUAGCACCAUGACUGUAGCAAUAUUACCCCAGCCUACUGAGAUUAAUCUGGUGAUUAAUCCGAAAGAUUUGAGAAUUGACACUAAGCGAGCCAGUGGAGCUGGGGGGCAGCAUGUAAAUACCACGGACAGUGCUGUCCGGAUAGUUCAUCUUCCAACAGGAAGAAGAAAAAGGAUGAGGAGGAAAAGUAUUCCUUGAUAAUAAGUAAAGAAGAUUUUUUUAUUAAAACUUUUUAAUUCUCGUAACACUAUUCAGGUGUUGUUUCUGAAUGUCAACAAGAGAGAUCUCAGCUGAAAAAUAAAGAGCUGGCUAUGACAAAGUUACGUGCAAAACUGUACAGCAUGCAUCUAGAAGAAGAAAUAAAUAAAAGACAGAAUGCUAGAAAAAUUCAGAUUGGAAGUAAAGGAAGAUCAGAGAAAAUAAGAACAUAUAAUUUUCCACAGAACCGGGUCACAGAUCACAGAAUAAACAAGACGCUGCAUGAUCUUGAAACUUUUAUGCAAGGAGAUUAUCUACUGGAUGAACUUGUACAGUCAUUGAAGGAAUACGCCGAUUAUGAAUCUUUAGUAGAAAUUAUUUCCCAAAAAGUUUAAGUUGAUUUGUUAUUUAUAGACUUUCGUAGCUUAGAAAAAUUCUACAGUACAUCCACAUAGGGUGAAAGUACCCUUACUCUCUUGAAAAACGUUGAGUUAACACAGUUGGAGGUAAUAUGCAUAUUCUGAAGUCAUAGAUAAUUUACACAGAUCUCUCUCAAUGCAUUAGCAAAAAUCAUACAAUAUACAGAUGGUCCUCGAUUUACAUUGUGGUUAAUUCCCAAUAAACCCAUCAUAAGUUAAAAAUGCAUAUAACGUUAGCAACACAGCAGUCUCCUAAUUAAUGACAGCUUGACUUAACAAUUUUCCAACUUUACCAUGGUGUGAAAGAGGUAUGAUUCCUAAGCCCUAAGGAGCUCCUCAGCUUGAAAUGGGGCUGCAUCCCUAUAAACCCAUCAUAAAGUCAAAAAAUCCUAAAACAUAAGUUGGUGACCAUCUGUAAUCAUGAUGUGGUGGUAAAUCUUGGACGCUACCUUACAAUAACUAGACAAAGGAAAAUCAUCCUUUGUCCUGUUCUGUGUAAAUAUUUAAUGAAUGAUCAAAACUUCAGUUUAAAUAUUAUGAAAAACUUUAAACAUAAAGUAGUAGAAAUAAGACAGUAAAUACUGUAUCCUAAUAUCCAGUCAGGAUACAGAAACCAUACCAUUAACUUGAACAGGGAUAAUUUUAAUAUAAAAACUGUUAACUGAUAAUGGUAUUAACUUUUAAGAGGGAUGAAAGAGAGCUAUGAUGUCCUAGGACUGAGAGUACCCCAGGAAAGAAUACCCUUGAAAGGGUCUCCCCUUCCCCAUGGUGAAGUCAGGCCUAAUGGAGAGAGUGGCUACAGCCUACUCAGUGAUUGGGAAAUUCCCUGUCUUGCCCUGGGCCAGAGCUGGUGUACCGCUGGUGGAUCAGGUCUUACAAGCAAAGAACCUCACACUCCCAACUGGUAAGCCAGAAGCCUCUUGCUAGGGUGUGAGCAAAACUUGGACAGGAACUCUCAGUAGAUGUUUGUGUUUGUCAAGAUUCUCCAGACAAACUUCCUUAAAAGGAUUGGCUUGUGUUGUUAUUAUUAAGUCUAACAAGUCCAAAAGCUGGAGUGUGAGGCAGGAGGCUGGAAACCCAGGAAAGCUGAUGGUGCAAGGUCCAGUCCAAAGGUAUCUGUUGGAGGAUUCUCUUGUUCUGGGAAGAGGACGGUCUUUUUUUCUCUUCAGACCUUCACCUGACUGGAUCAAGCCCACUAACAUCGAGGAGGACAGUCUGCAUUACUCAGAGUUCACUGAUUGAUUUAAAUGUCAAUCUCAUAUAAAACACCCUCACAGAAACACCUAGAAUAAUGUUUGACCUUAUAAUUGGAAAAUCAGAGCAAAAGUUAAAUCUCAAAAAAAAAAAAAAAAAAAGUAUGACCCAGUAGCUAGGCACCUGUGGCCCCGCCAAGUUGACACAUAAAAUUAACUGUCACAGUAUCAUCUUAGAAGUGAAAGAAGCCCCUUUAUCCUGCAGUGCCCCUCUACCACCACCUACUGACAAAGAACAUGGUGCUAUCUGGCAUGGGAGAAAUGUUCAGUUUGCUAUGGCUUGUAUGUGUCCCCUCAAAUUCAAGUGUUGCCAAUGUGACAGCAUCAAGAGGUGGGGUCUUUAAGAGAUCACUAGGCCAUGAGGGAUUCUCUUAGGACUGGGAUGAAGGCCCAUAAUAAAAGAGGUUUCGGGGAGCAUCCUGCUAGCUUGCCUUCUGUAUGUGAGAACACAGCAAGAAAGCCCUAGUCAACAAGUGCCAGCUCCUUGAUCUUAGACUUCCCAUCCUCCAGAACUGUGAGAAAUACAUUUCUGUUCCUUACAAAUUACCCAGUCUCCUGUAUUCUGUUAUAGCAGCACAAAAUGAAGAUACCAUACCUGAACACCUGAACAUUCUUCACAAGGUAGUAAAUGCACUGCUUUAUUCUGGUCUCAGUAUUGUGUGCUUAAUAAGGAAAUGAGAAAGGGUGGAUCAGGGCAUAGGAUGAACAAGUUACUGCUAGACCUCUCACAAUGCCACUAAUGGAUAAGAUUGUAUUUUCAUCAUUCUUGUCUCUUCGGAAGCUAACACCAUGCUAUAAUAGGCACUAAAUAGAUGUCUAAAAACACCUUAAGUAUUUGUCUAGAAAUCUGGUGCAUUGUUCAGAAAGAACCAAAAUUCAAAAUAAUUUCAAAGGGCCUAAAGCACUAGUUAAUCAAAAUUCAUUAGUUUUUAAUGGUACUACCACUCUCAAAUUUAAAAUGUCAUCUUACGUUCCUCUUCCUCGCAUUGGAUUUAUUGCUAAAACCUGGUAAACACUUUUAAUCCUUUUCAAUUCCAUUACCACUGCUCUUGUCCAGAAUUACUUCGCAGACUAAUAGUCACCUGACUUCUCCCCUGCAUCCGAUUUGCUGUCUAAUUCUGGUUACAAAUAAGUAACUGCCAAACUAAUCUUUCUAAAAAGCAAGACUGAUCUCGUCACUCCUUUGCUCAACAAUGUAAAAGCUCCCAUUGUCUCCCAAAUAAAACCAGCUUUCCACUGUGUAUACAAUACAUCCA